UACGUAGGGACCAAGCGUUGUCCGGAAUCAUUGGGCGUAAAGAGCGUGUAGGCGGCUUGUUAAGUCUUGCGUGAAAUCUCGGGGCUCAACCCCGAGCGGUCGUGAGAAACUGCCAGGCUUGAGGUCGGGAGGGGGAAGCGGAAUUCCGGGUGUAGUGGUGGAAUGCGUAGAUAUCCGGAGGAACACCAGUGGCGAAGGCGGCUUCCUGGCCCGAAUCUGACGCUGAGAUGCGAAAGCGUGGGGAGCGAUCCGG
rnacentral:rRNA from 1 species